CGGAGGUUGCAGUGAACAGAGAUUGCACCGGUGCCUGGACAACAAAGAGACUACGGAAAAGAAGAGUGACUAAGAUCUCUGAAGAAGGGAAAAGCUAGAUGACUGGGCCACAAGAGGAAAAAAAGCAGCAAGACAGAGAUUUGUUGGUGCCAACUAAAUGAGCCCAACAGCCAGUGACAACAGAACUGCACUAAAAAAAGUCCCUCAUCAGCUCUUGAGAGCAGGUUCCUUAAAGGUGAACAAUAUUCCACAUACAAGGACUUUUUCAGCACCAUGCAUUAGAAAUGGAAGUGAAUGUUUAUUAUUUUUUGUAUAAGUUGGUUGAUACGGCUUUUCAGCUUCCCUCAGUAUCAUUAUCCAAAUUUUGUAGAUGACACUAAAGCUCAGAGGAGUUAAACCAUUUUCCUCAAAUCACAUAGUUUUAAAUAGGAAAACCAGAUAUGAAAAGCAGAUUUUUUUCUAAAUUAAAAAAAAAAAAAAAACUUGAGCUCUUGCUUUACCCUAGCACAUAGUCUCACCAUCUGUUUUCUCCAUGCCAGGUCAUUCAUGUAACAUUCAUUCACAUAACAAAUACAAAUAAAUGAGUGGAUUCAUUCAUCAGCUAUUAAUUCAGAAUCUCUUUUGUGUCUACCACACUAGGCUCAAGACUUCCCAGUGUCUUUGUCUCCUCUCCCUCAAAUCUCUCCACCCAAUGUCUUGACAAAUACUGUAGAUCCUUCCUGCACAGCAUCACCAGAAUGUUUUUCUUUCUUUUCAUUCACCUCUGUCAUCAUCCAUGCUAUGGUGUUUAUGGAGGAUGUAUUCUGCAGCAGGAAGUGUGAUGGGCACUGACGCUGCAGAAAGACUCCUGUUGUCCACCUCGGGAGCUGACACGAUAAAUGCGGGUAAAUCUCAAUCCUUUAAUAUCUUUAUGACUUCUUUCUCUUUCUCUUCAAUUUCUAUUUUCUCAUGUUCAAGCUCUGACAUUCAAAACUAAACACCUUUCUCUAACAUGUUGCUUUAAUUAUUUAAGCAUUCUGCCUGGGAUUUUUUCAAUUACUCUUGGGAGUUUUCAUAAAACUCUACCAACAUAUCUCCAAGUGGCCAGGCUUUUCAAUCACUGCUUCCCUCCGUGUGUAUUUCACACACACACACACACACACACACACACACAGCACUUAAAUUGAACAGGUUUAUUUCUUCACACAGGAAUUCCUACGAACAGCCCGGUUUUCUCCACCAUAUGUCCACUCCUUCUCUGCAUAGCUGAAUUUUGAUUCUUACACUCUAAUAUUUUACAUAUUCUUACACUCUGAUAUGAUCUUGUCUCUUAUUCUUUAUGGCUCUGCUCUGUAAUUUUGUUGUUGUUGUUCUGAGAUAUAGUUGGACAUGUAACUUGUACAUGACACACCUUAGCAAGGAGGCAACCUAUAUCUCAGAUGCAAGUGAAAGAAGCACUCCCCAGGGGUUUCCUAAGGUAGUGGUCAGCACGCUGGCUUCAUUCCUGAAAGGGCCUAGUUAUGAAAACAACAGGAGCUUUUUGCCUUCCAGAAAUCUGUACCAUCUCAAAAUCCCCAGAGAGUCUCAGCUACAAGGAACAAGUGAUAAUACUAUCUCACUUUUAUAAACACACACACACAACACACACACACAAAAUCAUUUAAUCAUUUUUAAUUAUUUAAUCAUUUUUUAAAAAUCAGUGACACUUUAGAUGGGCAGGUCUAGGCAGGGCCUCCUUUCCUGGAAUGUGCCUUUUUCUGUCCCGGAAUACCCUAAACUUGACAUUUUGGCAGUGUGAGUUUUCCCUUUUUGACUUUCUCCUUGUUCCCUUUCCUCUUCCUUCUUUGCAGAGAAUGAGUAGCCACUGCACCUUGCCCUGGGCCAUCAGUGAGAAGAUCUGCUCUUAGUAGAGCCCUGCUUUCCCGCUGAAGGCCCUGAAAUCCCCUGUGUUCCAGGCCACCCACUAAGGAUCAAUAAAGCUCCCCUGAUGUGGGGGAAUUAGCUCAAGUGGUAGAGCGCUUGCUUAGCAUGCAAGAGGUAGUGGGAUCGAUGCCCACAUUCUCCAAACUUUAUUAUUUAGACCCUGGGUCUCCAAACACUCAGGUCUCCAAACCCAAGUCAGAGAACAGGAUGCUGCUUUGGUUCAAGAUGUAGGAGCAGCAACAAUACAGGGCUGGUGACGGCUCCCUCCUGGCAUUCAGUAUAGUGUAGAUCUACCGUGUAAUUAAUUUUCUGCUUCUUUGAGGAGCUGUGAAACCAAGGGACAUAAACAAUUGCUCUUUUCUCCCUGUUUCUGCCUGUAGCUUGAAUGUGAGGCAACUGUGAAAAGUGCAGGGCAGAGCCACCUGGGUAAAUACAGCCCUGGCUUUCUGGUGAGAGGACUGAAACCAGGAUGUGUCAAGUAACUAGAAUGUGCCUGGACAGAUACUGUAGAAAGCAAACCCAUAAAGUUGUUCAUGAGCUUGUGGACGCACCUGCCAGCUGUGAAUAAGUGGGUCUAAUCCCAAACAACUUACCUAAAAAGAGCCUGAGGACUGAACUAAACAAUGGUCCACUUUCCAGUCCUCACUGACCACUGGUUGCACACACUCCAGAGAUCUCUCAUCCGCAGUGUCAAGGCUUUCAAAUAGAGUUAUCUGUGAAACAACAACACAUGGAAGUCUGGUUGGUACUUGGAGCUUAAAUACAAGGCAAUUGUGUGCCUGCAAAAACAAAAAGAGCAAUAUUAUCCUUAAGAUUUCAACAAGACACAGUGUCUCAUCACAUAAUCCAAAGAAGUCCAGGUUACAAGCCCCAAAAUAUUCAGCAUUAUGAAAAACCAGGGAGAUCUUAAUUCACAUGGCAAAGAGAAUCCUUGCAUAACAAUAUUGAGAGGACACAUAUGUCAAAAUCAUCUGACACAUACAUUAAAGCAGUUAUUAUAACAAUGCUCCUAGAAUUACGGGAUAGCAUUCAUGAAGUGAAUGGAAAGUUGGAAAGUCUCACCAAAUAUUUGGAAUAUGUAAACACCAAUUUAAACUUAAGAAUUAAAAAAAGUAUUAACCAAAACUAUUAGGGGAAAUAAAAAGCUUAAUUGGAUGAUCUCAAUAGCAGUAUGCAGAAGACUAAGGAAAAAGUCAAUGAACUUGAAAACGGAACAAGAAUACCUACAGAAUCUGACCUAUAGAAAGAAAGGAGGAUUUUAUUGUCCCUGAACAGAGGCUCAGGGACAAAUAAAAAAUAACAAAUCUAACAUUCACAUUAUUGUAAUCUGGAAACAUUCACAUUAUUGUAAGAGGACAAAGAGGUCUUUGUGGGAUAAAACUGUGAAGAAUUAAUGGCUGAAAAUGUAUCAAAUUUCUCAAAAGAUAUAAACCAGAUUUUUAAAGUUCAGUAAAUGUCAAGCAGGAUAAACCAAAAGAAACCCAUUGCAAGACAUAUCAUAAUCAAACUGCGGAAAAUUAAGAAAACACAAAACAAUUUUGAAAGCAGCCAAAGGGAAAUGAAAGAUAAAAUACCAAAUGAAUGAUUGUAGAUUUCUCAUCGGGAACCCAGGAGCCAGAAAAAAAUGUCAUAACAUUCAGUAAAUACCAAAGGAAAAAUACAUUAUCAACCCAGAAUGGUAUGUGGAGCAAAAGUAUCUUCCAGACAUAAAGGCAAAUAAAUGCAUUCUCAUUGGAAGGUAAAUAAAUACAUUCUCAGUCCUAGCAAAACUGCUGGAAAAGAAUUAGCAAAGGUUUGAGAUAAGAAAAGUGAUACCAGAAGGAAACUUAGAACAUCAUCAAUGAAGGAACAAAAGCAGAAAUAGAAAAUGUCUGGGUAGACAUAACAGACUAUUAUUCUUCUCUUGAGUUCCUUAAGGUAUGUUUGAUGGUUGAAAGCAAAAAUUGUAACUUUAUCUGAUGCAGUUGUCAUUGUAUCUAGAUGUACUACAUACAUAAGAUAAAAGGGUAAAUGUAAUGGGACUAACUCUUGAUGAAGUUUCUAUAUUCAACUUGAAUGGUAAAAUAUUGAUUCUUAGUAUACUGUGAAAAGUUAUAUAUGUAUAUGGUAAUCCCUAGACCACUUAACAACCAGAUUGAAAUAAACCAAAACAAGAUAGACAGAGGAACAUAGAAGAAUUAAAACAAAGGGAAAAAAGGUUAAUAAAUUAUUAAAUAGUAGAUCUAUCUAAAAACUUAUCUAUAAUAACAUUAUAUGUAAAUUAUCUAAAUGCAUUAAGUAAAAACUAGAGAUCAUCAGAAUGUGUUAAAAAUAAAUAUGCUGACUAAAGAAAGCCACCUGCAAUACACUUAUAAAUAAGAAUAAAAGUUAUAGAGCAGAUUGAAAGAAAAGAGUGGGAAAAGAUACCUCAUGCAAGCAUUAAUCAAAGACAGCUGUGGUGUAUAUAUAUAAAAUCAGACAAAGUAGAUUUGAAAGCAGAGAAACUUUUCAGGAAUAAUGAGGCCUCCUAAAUAAUUAUGAUUGUCAAUUUUUCAGGAGAAUAUUGUCCCAAAUGUAUAUGAGGACACAGAGCUUCAAAACUCAUAAACAAAAUUGGAUACGCCAAGUAAAAAUAGAAAAAUCCAGUUAUAGUUGCAGUCAUUAACACUCCUCUCUGAGUAAUUGGAAGAUUUAGUGGAACACAAAUCAACAGACAUACUGGAGAAUUGAACCAUGCCAUCCAGUAAUGGACCUAUCAAUUUCAUAAUGCAAAAUAAAAAUUCAGGUAGAAAGCAAAGACAAAAAUUAAAAGAAAAGCAAGAUCAUGUUAUAAUGAGAAAAUUAAGAGUAGUCCAGUGUAUAGAAGGGUGCUAUUAUUGAAAGAGUUUGAAAUAGUGACUUAGUUAUUUUGAAACAUUUUUGAAGACGUUAUUUAGCUGGAAAUGACAGAAAGACUGAAAAUGGUGAAUGUGGAGGUGGAUCUUCCCUUGUCCAUAUUUAUCUUGUCUUCGUUUGAGGUCUGGGGUGUCUAUACUUCCUCUGAAUUACCUGAUCUUACUACAGUGUCUGGCACAGAGCAUCUCCCCAGUGAAUAUGUACUAAAUGAGUAGAAAGUAAUUGAUAGAUUCAAAAGAGUUGUGCAAGAAUAAUGUUCAUUAUUUGACUAAUCACUGAAUGUGGUGUUUCAAGGAAGACAAUGAAUCAAAGUUGACUUGAAAGGUAAGCCCAGGGCCAGACGUGGUGGCUCAUUUCUGUAAUCCCAGCACUUUGGGAGGCCGAGAUCAGUGGAUCCCUUGACACCAGGAGUUUGAGACCAGCCUAGGCAACACAGUGAAAACCUGUCUCUACAACAAAUACAAAAAUUAGCCGGGUGUGGUGGUAUGCAUCUGUAGUUCCAGCUACUCAGGAGGCUGAGGUGGGAGGAUCGCUUGAACUCAGGAGGUGGAGGUUGCAGUGAACAGAGAACGCACCGGUACCUGGACAACAAAGUGAGACCCUGUCAUAAAAUAAAAUAGUUAAACCCAGGCCAGGAGGGGUGGCUCAUGCCUGUAAUCCCAGCACUUUGGAAGGCCAAGGUAGGCUGAUCACGUGACGUCAGGAGGUUGAGACCAGCCUGGCCAACAUGGUGAAACCCCGUCUCUACUAAAAAUACAAAAAUUAACCAAGCGUGGUGGCAGGCACCUGUAGUCCCAGCUACUCUGGAGGCUGAGACAGGAGAAUUACUAGAACCCGGGAGGCAGAGGUUGCAGUGAGCCAAGAUCUUACCAUUGCACUGCAGCCUGGGCGACAGAGUGACACUCUGUCGAAAAAAAAAAAAAAAAAAAAGUUAAGCCCAAAAAGUAAGUAAGGAAGAGGUUUGGAAUUAGAUAUUUGUUGUAUGAAUGAGUGAGCUAAAGUGCAAAAGAACGGGCAGAAUAACUGAGCUGGUACAGAGGGAAAAAAUCACAUUUAAAAUCUAAAAAUAUCUGCUUCUUAGUUCAGGCUUUCCCACUUAGCAGCUUUGGCACCUUAGGAACACUUAACUUAUCUGAGCCUCUAUUACUUCUAAAAAGUGCAUAAAGUGCAGACUAAGACAGUUUUUUUGGCAAAAUUCAGUCAGACUACAUCAAGUAAACUCCCUAAGUCUCCUAGUAUAAUUCAUGGCACAAAAAAUUGGGGAAAAAACAGGGAGGAUAUGAUUAUAAGUUCAGUUUAUGUUUUUUGUUGAGUGAAUGUCUCCAGUCAUAGAGAUGCAAGUGUAGAUACACAGUAAGAGUAGUAUGAAUGGGAGACACCUUGGAAGGCUAUUUCUUCCUUCCUUCAUUCAGUUGGUCACUCAGUGAACUAUCAUGAAUUGAGCACCGCCUCUGUUUCUUAUCAACAAAGGAGACUGCGGAAAAGAAGAGUGACUAAGAUCUCUGAAGAAGGGAAAAGCUAGAUGACUGGGCCACAAGAGGAAAAAAAGCAGCAAGACAGUUACAAUUGUUUCUGGUCCCACUUUUAUAAACACACACACACACACACACACACACACACACACACACAAAAUCAUUUAAUCAUUUUUAAGUAUUUAAUCAUUUUUUAAAAAUCUGUGAUGCUUUACCUGGGCAUGUCUAGGCAGGUCCUCCUUUGCUAGGACGUGCCCUUUUCUGUCCCGGAAUACUCUAAACUUGGCAUUUUGGCAGCGUGAAGUUUUCCCGUUGUGACUUUCUCCUUGUUCCCUUUUCUCCUCCUUCUUUGCAGACAAUGAGUAGCCACUGCUGUUUGCCCUGGCCCAUCAAUGAGAAGAUCUGCUCUUAGAGCCCUGCUUUCCUGCUGAAGGCCCUGAAAUCACCUGUGUUCCAGGCCACCUGCUAACAAUAAAUAAUGCUGCCCUGAUGUGGGGAAUUAGCUCAAGUGGUAGAGCGCUUGCUUAGCACGCAAGAGGUAGUGGGAUCGAUGCCCACAUUCUCCAAGCUUUAUUAUUUAGACAUCGUGUCUCCAAACACUCAGGUCUCCAAACCCAAGUUAGUGUCUGAGAACAGGAUGCUGCUUUGGUUCAAGACGUAGGAGCAGCAAUAAUAGAGGGCUGGUGAUGGCUCCCUCUUGGCAUUCAGUAUAGUGUAGAUCUACCAUGUAAUUAAUUCUCUGUUUCUUUGAGGAGCUGUGAAACCAAGGGACAUAUACAACUGCUCUUUUCUCCCUGUUUCUACCUGCAGCUUUGUCCUAAAUGUGAGACAAUUAUGAAAAGUGCAGCGCAGAGCCACUUGGGUAAAUACAGCCCCGGCUUUCUGCUCAGGGGACAGAGUUUGAGGCACUGCAGAGGAACCGGCCAAAGUAUGAGACCCAUAUAUUGAGAGUAACAGAGUGUAAAGUUCAAAAAAAUCAAAAUAUUUAAAGAUUUAUCAUGGGUCUUGAUGACAUGAUGGAAUCUCUCUACUCUCUGGACUUAUUAUGUGUGGUAAUAAAUUUACUUUUUAAAAGCCA
rnacentral:tRNA from 1 species